UUAGCUGUUUUAUUUGGUUUAGGGUUAUUUGCUAGCUGUUUUAUUUGGUUUAUUGACUGAGAAGCAAUUGUAGGUUUAAUUUGUGUUCCGUUUCAAACCUUCUGCCAGUUUUGUAUUUUCUCAUAUAAACUGUAAAAAAAACGGAUAUGUGUAUUCGCAGGCACUCGUCUUAUGCCUUUAUACAAUAAAUUCUGAGACCAGUGCCUGUGUGUGUAUUCAUUAAUUAACCGUAAAAUGAAAAAUAAAAUAGUAUAUAAUUAUACUUGAAUGUUUUUGUUUUAUUCCAAUUUUC
rnacentral:lncRNA from 1 species